CACAGUCUUUCAAGUUAUAUAUAACAGAGUUGUCAGAGACAAUGAAGCUCCAAAAUCUGCUAGCUUUCCUUCAAGUGGGGAUUGCACAGCUAAAGCUGUGUAAUUCUCAGUUUCUAUUUUUACUGAUCCUAUGUGGUGAACUAUUUAGAACCAGAAGAUACAAUUUUGAUUCUAUCAUACUCAAAAGGAACAUCAGCGUCAAGGAUCAUUUCCAGCAUAAAUAAACUUUAGCCAACUUCUAUUGCAUCAUCAGCUUUUCUAUUCAGGCAAGCUUCGAAAAAUUGCAGAUGCUCUCCAUUUGACUCGGUAUUCCGGGCAUGAACAUUUUCGAUGGAAGCGGAGAGAAUAGUUUUUACAGGUUUUGAUGAAUGAAUCCAUAGAUAAGUUGCGAAUAAGGUUUCAACAAACAUUUGCACUGAGAACAGGUUUUCCAAGGGGAAGUUGGCUUUUUGACUUCUAUAGGCAUCUGCUAAGGUGGAAAUUUUGGCCCUUAACAUAGUUAGGACAAGUUUUCAAUCUUCAAUAACAAACUCUUAAGUGAUUGACUUAAAAUUUUUUGUUCUACAUAGAAGUGACUGAUAAUUGAAUUAAUUGUAUAUGACUUCAGUUUUUCUUCUCUGUCACUUUUUGGUCUCAUUGUUACUUAUCUUCCUCAUAACAUCUAUACUGUAAAAUGCCAAUGAGCAUGGGUAUCCAUAAUUUAGCAUAAUUGACGGUUCUCUUUAGUGC